GAUGAACGCUGGCGGCGUGCCUAAUACAUGCAAGUCGAGCGAACGGACGAGAAGCUUGCUUCUCUGAUGUUAGCGGCGGACGGGUGAGUAACACGUGGAUAACCUACCUAUAAGACUGGGAUAACUUCGGGAAACCGGAGCUAAUACCGGAUAAUAUUUUGAACCGCAUGGUUCAAAAGUAAAAGACGGUCUUGCUGUCACUUAUAGAUGGAUCCGCGCUGCAUUAGCUAGUUGGUAAGGUAACGGCUUACCAAGGCAACGAUGCAUAGCCGACCUGAGAGGGUGAUCGGCCACACUGGAACUGAGACACGGUCCAGACUCCUACGGGAGGCAGCAGUAGGGAAUCUUCCGCAAUGGGCGAAAGCCUGACGGAGCAACGCCGCGUGAGUGAUGAAGGUCUUCGGAUCGUAAAACUCUGUUACUAGGGAAGAACAUAUGUGUAAGUAACUGUGCACAUCUUGACGGUACCUAACCAGAAAGCCACGGCUAACUACGUG
rnacentral:rRNA from 1 species